CUUGAGGGCAUCUUCAGUUUUUACUUUGCCACCAAAAGCAUGGUGGUUUUUGGACCUACACACAUCUCUGUGUGGCCGAACACCGUAGUAUUCACUGUCACAUUAGGCCUGGACCUACUUCGUGCAACCGCAGCUUAUCCAGUAGACGGGGCCAGCGGAGAAGGACCUGGGGGCCAGGAUGAAGGGAGGCCUUUGCAACAACACAUGAUGCUUUUGGGGGUCCUUCCUGAAGACAGUGGUGACCCCAGCAGCUGGAAAACGGGAAGCUCCUCCUCUCAGCUUCAGUUGUUCAUGAGUCAGGCCAUCGGUCUGGGGCAGAUGGGGCUGGCUUUUCCUGAACAUCCAAGGAGCAAACUAGAAUGGUGUCUCGCUGAUGACUUUGACGACAGCUCACGUGGGAGGGAAGUAUUUCAGCAAUCAGACCGAAGGAGAAUCCAAAAACCCCACUAUUGCGGGGUCAAGAGUGCACGUGUUUGAAUUCUGAAAGAUGUAAGCCAAGGCAAACAGAAGGAAAUGAUCUUCCACUAAUCCCUGCAUUUACUUCCUCCUCUCUGGAGGGGACGGCCACACACACAGAGCCCUGUGCUCUGACUUCUCCUGAAGGGGACACAGCCGGGCUCGCUCAGUGUCACCUCGCCCCUGGGGUGUGCCCGGGUUUCAGAUCUCAGGCUGGAGUGAUUCACGUGUAGCAGGGAGGCCGUCAUUAAUGAAAAUGCAGGGGCGUCGCGGGAGUGUUGAUGAUUCAGCAGGCCUUUCUACUUCUCUAUGAGUCAGUACCCGUCGCAGCCAAGCCUGGGGCAGAACAAGUUUUCUUAAAAGAGCAUGGGGGCCUCGUCUUCAACAACCAAUUAGGAGGCAGAAAAGUCCUCAGUGAGGAAGGAAUAAUGACAUGUUGGAGCUAAGAUGAUGGUGCUCAAGCCCGAGAGGCCCUUCCAGACGCCAGGCCCACAUGGACAAGGUGCGUCACUCCAGCUGAGGCCAGGGGACAGCGGGGGCACCAAGUACAGGGUGGACCAGACCACCAGAGCCAGGCCACGUGGGACUUGAAGCCAGAAACAGCCCAGGCCAUGAGGCCACGGGGCAUUCCCUGGAGUCGAAGGAAAGCAUGCCACUGUGCGGGUACGAGGCUGGGGGACCACGCUCCAUUCCACCCUCGUCCAAGCAGUCAGAGUGUGUGAAAUCCAGGAGUCACCAAACCUAAGUUUUGGAAAGAGGUGUCCUGUUCCCUUCCCAUUCCACUUAAGCAAACCACACCUCCCAAGAACGUUCUGAGCCGCUCUUAAAUACCAGAGCACAGAAGCGAAUAUGGCAAUUUUUACUGCUGGAAAAAGUGUACAUUCAGAUAAAAAAGAGACAGAAAAACAACUGUGGUGCAAUGUAACAUGUGCCCCAAGGGGGGCCACCCCUGCUCUCAUAUUUCUGAGGGUGCCCUGGUCGAAUACCACCUCAGUGUACCCUCUCUUUCCCUCUCUCACUCACUCCAUCGUUUCCUCCUCUCUAGGGGAGGAGAGACAUAACUCAUCCAUGAGUCUGGGGGAUGGAAUGGGCCCUUUGAAGUCCGAUGCCCUCUGCCUUCCUCUCCAG
rnacentral:lncRNA from 1 species